GUCAGAUGUGUAGAACCCAGAGAUGGUUGAACUUGCAUGUAUUUAAUUCCCUACCAAAUCCUCCUUCCAAUUGAAAGCAAAUGAUAAAAAACACGUUUAGAGAUAGUUGUGAGAAACUAUAAUUACAGAAUGAAAAAGAGACUAAAAUGUAAAUAUACCCAGUGUCUCAAGCUUCGACUGUGAGAAAUGACUAAACUCCUUACACUACAAAAUUUUACUCCAAACUAGCUUUUUCUGACAUGGAGGGAAUAACGGCCAACUGUGCUUUAAGUUACAACCAUCUCUGGGUUCUACACAUCUGACUGCUCAAAUGGGACACGCACAAACAACUGCCCAUGCAGGGUGACCACAGCAGAUGUCUGAUGUGGAUCAAUUCUUGAAGGUAAGCUGACAACCUUUUUAAAGGGUGUGACACCCCAAGGAUUAUCCAGUUGCUCUGGUUGACCAGAUAUAAUCAACCGUCCUCCUCACGCAAAAGCCCUGGAACUAAAGCAUAUAUUUCAAAGCAGUCAUUAGUUCUUUGCACAUUGAUCUUCACCCAAUCAGCUGGAGGUCCAAGGUCAACCACCUCUACGCCUGCAGUUUCAUUGUUUUCAUGUGAGGAACAUGGACAGCACGCUCAACAUUCGAUGGCUUUUUACGCUUCAGUAAACCAUUAGAUUUUAGCUGCUUGUCACUCUUUGGUGUAGAAUUCAAGUUCUUGUCCUUGAUGAUUGGAUCACAAACCUGACCAUUAUUAAGAAGACGCUGGGAGUGCCAUCCCUGCAUGGCACGAGCUGCAGCAUCCCUUCGUGCCCUACCUGAUCCAGGAGCUUGACUUCCUGGUGCCUGAUUUUCAACCCUAAUAGGCUCUGUCACGGAAGCAUCAGAAAAAGGGAGCUCCCCACAAUGCAUUUUAUGCUUUUCAUAUUCAAGUAAUGCCUUCUCAUAGAAAAUUCGGAAUGUCCACGAGACAGUAGUGCAGGUCUUUGGGGGUCUGAAUGAUUCUCCCACUUGCCG
rnacentral:misc_RNA from 1 species